rnacentral:rRNA from 1 species
GACGAACGCUGGCGGCGUGCUUAACACAUGCAAGUCGAACGAUGAAGCCUUAGCUUGCUUUGGUGGAUUAGUGGCGAACGGGUGAGUAACACGUGAGCAACGUGCCCAGGACUCUGGAAUAACCGCGGGAAACCGUGGCUAAUACCGGAUAGGUGCCGAGGCCGCAUGGUCUUCGGUUGGAAAGUUUUUGCGGUUCUGGAUCGGCUCGCGGCCUAUCCGCUUGUUGGUGGGGUAAUGGCCUACCAAGGCGACGACGGGUAGCCGGCCUGAGAGGGUGAACGGCCACACUGGGACUGAAACACGGCCCAGACUCCUACGGGAGGCAGCAGUGGGGAAUAUUGCACAAUGGGCGCAAGCCUGAUGCAGCAACGCCGCGUGGGGGAUGACGGCCUUCGGGUUGUAAACCUCUUUUAGUAGGGAAGAAGCGCAAGUGACGGUACCUGCAGAAAAAGCACCGGCUAACUACGUG